AACUUUCAACAACGGAUCUCUUGGCUCUCGCAUCGAUGAAGAACGCAGCGAAAUGCGAUACGUAAUGUGAAUUGCAGAAUUCAGUGAAUCAUCGAAUCUUUGAACGCACAUUGCACUCUCUGGUAUUCCGGAGAGUAUGCUUGUUUGAGUAUCAGUA
rnacentral:rRNA from 1 species